rnacentral:lncRNA from 1 species
CUCUCUGCAUGCUGUUUGGAACACAAAAUUCUAGCAUAUGAUCAAUAUUGACCAUCAAAAGAGCUACUACAAUAGCAAGUGCAACAUAAUGCACUUUGACUUAGAAAAUAGUGAAUUUGGAAUAACAAAACAGGAUUGAAAUGUGCCUUCUCAUUUCUCAGCCCUCGGUUUGAUUAUUGAAAGUUGAGCUGAAUUUCACACCUAAUUUAUGAAGCGCAACAUGCAUAACACAGAUAUCGUAAGCACAUAAAUGCUAAGUGCUAUCUAGAUUUUUAAGCAUGUAUGUUGAGGCUUGGACAUUUACCAUCAGUGAUACAUAAAUGCUAAGUGCUAUCCAUAUUUUUAAACAUGUAUGUUGAGGCUUGAGCAUUUACUAUCAGUGAUAAAAGAAUACCAUAAAAGUUAUACCUUGUCUUCGAUAGCAGGUAAAACCAGGAGAUCCGCGAAGUAAGUAUGCCAUGACAUUGGUAGGUAAAGGAAAGGAGGAAUAUACAUCCACAAUGAAUUUAAAAGUCUGAACUCUGGUGAAAGGAGAAAGCCGACCCAUGAAUAGAGCAGGGAACAAAGACAGAACCUAGGAAACAAGAGACAGACAAGAACUAAGAUUCAAGAAAUUACAGCUUCCAAAUCAUUAGCAAAAAUAAUCAUGGACAAACGCGAACAUGAAAUAUUUCAAUAAUCUAAUAUUCUAAUGAGAAAGCAACUUUAGACAUAAAAGUAAUAGCAUAAAAAAGCUUCUAUCCAGAAAACUUAUAACAGGUAUAAAUUGUAAUCCAAUUCUACUAUCUUUAUCAGGCACUAAGCUUUUAACAACUAUUGAUUGACAAAGAAAUAUACAUACUUUGACGACGUCGGGUGAGAGAUAUACAAACUUUGCACUCCCCAUUGCUUCAAACAGUUCAAUAAACUUCAUAGACAAUUUAGUGCCCUCAGUAUUGUCCAAUGCAUUAAGUACCUCUGAACUAUCCACAUCAAUAACCAGCUUCUCUAAAAAGUGAAGCUUGGCCUGAAUGGAAAAAGCAUAAAGAUUCAAGGGAUCAUCAUAGCUAAAAUACCGAAGCUUCGGCGUGAAAAGCUCGAUCACACACUCAGAAUCAAACUCUUCAUCCACCCUUAAACAUGAUAUGCUCAACUCUGUAAGCUGAGGAGCAUGAAUUUUAAAUUUAUCAAAUUUUCCAUAAAAUUGACAACAGUCAAAUAACAGAAAACUCAAUUUAGGACAACCGAGAAAAGGGUCAAGAAUCUCUACGUCCCUAAUCUCAAACUUGCAAUCAACAAGAGACAACUUUUGCAGCGAAACAAAUUCAAAGGUUGAAGUUUCAGUGGAUAUGUUACUGAGAUUGAGCACAGUUAGGGUUCGAGAAGUGAAUAAUCGAGGUAGACUCUCGAGAACAUAAUCAGCAACGAUAGUUAAAUUCUGAAUGUCCUUUGAUGCAACAUAAUCGACGACGGAAUCAACGGUGGGUGCACCUGUUUCUUCAAGUUCGUCACCGGUGCAUUCGAACUUGAGAACAUCGAUUUUGGAGUCAGAAUUUCUAUUGGCAAGAAAAUUAAGAACGAAAUCUUGGAAAAGAAAAUCAUGAUCAAAAGAAGAGCUAUGCAAGUUAAGAAAAGGGAGUGAAAUCCAAAUAUUCUUCCAUCGAUGAGCGAGAACACUGGUUUGAACAGCAGUUUUUGCAUCAACGAAGGAAAGAAUACGGUGAAUGAGUUCAUCAGGUAAAUUGCUCAGUUUGUCUUCUCCCUUCUUCUUGAUUCUGCUUCUACUUCUCCUUGAGUUCUUCCAUAUUCUUCUGUUCAACAUGUUUAGAUGCUUUUUAUUUUUGUGUCUAUCUCUCUUGUCGAUUUUCUUAUCAGGUUCUCUGAUAUAAUUUAAUUUAUAUAGGCUUGAUUCGAAUGAAAAUUAAUAUGAAUGUCCAUAUAGAUAAUAGGAAAGUAUAAGUGUCAUAUCUAAUCAUAAUAAUAUAAUAAAUGAGAAUAAUUUUAUAUAUUUUUCUUAUUUAGAUAUAAUUUAAUUUAUAUAGUGUUGGUUCAAAUGGAAAUUAAUAUUUCUAUGUAAGGAUAAUUAUAUGUUAUAUAGGUCAAGUAUAAGGGUGGUAUCUACUUAUGACAAUGUAAUAAAAGAAAAUAAUUUUAUAUAUCUCUUUUAUUAAUUUUUUUGGGUUCUCUAAUAUAAUUUAAUUUAUAUAGGUAUUUGUUGUAAUAAAAAAUAAUACAGAUGUCCAUAUAGAGGACAUGUACGUGUUAUAAGUCAGAUACGUGUCAUAUCUAAUUAUGGUAAUGUAAUAAAUGAGAAUAACUAUUGUUAUGAGAAAUAAGAACAAUUAAUAAAAAUGUAAAAUCAAAAUUAAAAGAUAUGCUAACAAAAUGUUGGUAUAGUGACAUAAGGUUUUAUUAGAUUAUCAAGAUGAUUAAAAAAUUAAAGUUUGAUUCUUAAGAAUAACACUUGUUGAGAAUAUCAAUCAUACAACCAAAAAAAAUUAAUUUAUUACCCAUAUGAUAAAAAACAUGUGCUAUAAAUUAAAAAAAAUAUAAUCAAUGAAUAUAUUAAAUUAAACGUUUUAUCUUAUUGAUGAUGUUAGAAUUGCUACUCCUUCGUGUCUUAUCUUCUCCUAAGAUGAAUCAUUAUGUGUUGUUGUCACAUCACAUGAUGUGAAAUUUAAUUUGUGUCUAUCUUUUUUUUCUUUUCUUCAAUCAGUCAAAGCAAAUAUAAUAUUAAUAUAUUAUAUUAAUAUAUAUACUAAAUAUAGACAUGUAAGAUUGAUACAAGAGACUGAUAUAUAUGGUAGGUAGAGUAUGAAUGACAUUUAAUUAGGAAAAGUGAUUCGAAUAAUAAUAAAAUUAUUCUGUUUAAUCUUAUUUAAAUUGCUAAAAUUAAAUGAUAGAUAUACAUAAUUUUUAUUUUUUAAUGAUGAUGUAUACCUAUUUUUAAGUUUAAUCGUCCACACAUAAAUCUAUAAUUUAAUUUUAUUGUAUUUGCAAUUUUUAUAUAAGAAUUAUUUUAAUAGAUAUCUAAUUAUUAGUUUUUCUAUAUUUUUAUCUGUUAAACUUUUUAUUUAAAAAUAUUUUUAAAGAAAUAAUUUAAUAAAGUGCAUAUUUUGAGUAUUAAAUGAUUAUACAACAUAUAUUUUUAUUCCUAGUUUUUUGUUUUUUAUUCAUUUCUAUUGUAUCCAAAAAAAACUUUACAUAAAGAAUAACUAGAAAAGGUUUAAUAUAUAUCCAUAUAUCUAGAUAAUAUUGAAUUUAUUUUUUUAUUUAUCGCUAUGAUCAAUCUUUUUACAAUAUUCCCUGAUAUAAUUUAUAUAUGUUGAAUAGAAAUUAAUGUGUGGUUGAACGAUCAAAUUUAAAAUAUAAAUUAUGUGUUUGAUAAAGUUAACUAAUUCUUAUUCUUCAACAUUCGUAUAUUGUUGUAUGACCCUAAUUUAUUAUUUCUACGAUUUUUAAAUGAAAACUAUUCUCAUCUUUUCAAUUAAUAAUACAAAACUAUUUUCAAGAAAUAAUUCAAGAAAAAAUUAUUGUUUCAGUAUUAAACAAAUGUAAUACCACUAAGAAAUGUAUAAUAGCUUCCAAAUUUAUGGUAUUUUCUAGGACAGGAAUUGAAUAAUCUUCCAAAAUAGAUGUAUUUAGAGCUGAUAGUGGAUGGUAUAAGCUAGAAUUGUUAAUUAGCAUGAUUCAGAAAAUGUUAUGUUUUUAUUCACGAGUCAAUAAAGAGUCAAUAUGAUUAUUACAAAUAUUUCACAUUCUUAUGAGCACUUAUUGAUGCUCAUUAUACUAUUCAAGUAGAAGUUUAUUCUUUUUUGUAUCAGUUUUCUUGUUUAUAUCGUAUAAAUUAUGUCUUUUGUUGAUAAAUAAAAUCAAACCUUCUACCUAAUACAUUUCCUUGCACUUUUGUUUACUACAUAACCAACAAACAAAGUUGAACAUAUGGAUUGAAGAGAUGGCUUAGAAUAUCUAGGAAUAGAUACUAGUAAUGUGAUAAGAUAAUUUUAAUUCUUCUUGUGUCUUGUAAUUGUUUGUUGGGUGGAUGAAUUUCUGUAGAUAUCAGCCACAACAAUAGGGCAAAGCCUAAUUGCAUCCAUGCAUAUUACCUGUCAUGUUUAUGGUAAUAUUGUUGGAGAAUAUCUCCAUCCGAAAUCCAUAGAUUAAACGCGGAAGUCCUUAUGACUAUGACUUUGUUCCCAUAACCUAAUGUUUAUGCCCAUACAUAAACCCAAAUGGAACAACCAUGGUCCAGACCGAAGAAACUGAAAGUGCGCAUGUCAAGAGGAGCACUUUGGAAAGCUUUCUCACUAUAUGUUUUGGUUUUGAUGAGGACAACUUGUGUUUAUAAGAGCUUGAAGAUCAUCAACAAAUCAACGUGCUUAAGUCUCAAGAUUGGUAUUAGACUUAGACUAGUGAUUAGUUUAGGUUGAGUCUAAGGCUUAGGUAAACUCAACACAUGUCUCAUAUGCAUAAAACUUUAAAAAAAUUUAGUUUUGAGAUAUGUCAUUUAUAAUAUGUUCAUGCAUCACAUAAAUAAAUGUAAUAUGUGCAUCCUAGGCAUAAACUUAGUGUUGAACAUGUAUAAAUUAAGUGCAUAACAUAUUUGAGUUUUGCAAUUUGAAAAUACACUUGGAAAUAUGCAGUUAANNNNNNNNNNNNNNNNNNNNNNNNNNNNNNNNNNNNNNNNNNNNNNNNNNNNNNNNNNNNNNNNNNNNNNNNNNNNNNNNNNNNNNNNNNNNNNNNNNNNUAAAGAUGAUGAUGAAUCUGACUCCGAUCUGGAUGAUGAAACAAUGGGUCUUCUCGUUCGAAAAUUCAGUAAAUUCAUAAAGAGAAAAGGAGGAUUCAAAAAGUUUCAAAAGAAAGAAGCGAAGGAAUCCACAAACAAAGGCAAGAACACCAAAGAUCGCUUCACUUGCCACGAGUGCGAAAAAGUAGGACACAUGCGAUUUCAGUGUCCAACCUAUCAGAAAAAGGUUGAUUCAGAAAAGAGCACUCCCAGGGAAUUCAAGUCUAAGAAAGCCUACAUCGUAUGAGAUGUACCUGAGGAGGAAACAACAUCAAGCACCUCUAGUGAGGAGGAGUCAGCAAAGCUAGAAAUGGUACCUAGAUAGUGGGUGUUCGAGACAUAUGACAGGUGACAGAUCAAACUUCCUGGAUCUUUCACUUAAAUGUAAAGGAUACGUCACGUACGGAGACAACAACAAGGGAAAGAUUCUUGGCACCGGAACAGUUGGUAACUCAUCUCAGACUCUUAUUGAAAAUGUUCUUUAUGUUGAAGGAUUAGAACAUAAUCUCUUGAGCAUAAGCCAACUCUGUGACAAAGGUAACAAUGUAUCUUUCGAUUCUGAUUGUUGUAUUAUUCGUGACAUUUUAUCUAAUAAUGUUAAAUUUGUUGGCCAUCGUAUAAAUAGUAUUUAUAUGGUUAAUUUGGAUGAUGUCACUAAUUUAUUUUCAAAAUGUUUUAUUUCAAAAGAAGAUGACAUUUGGCUUUGGCAUAGACGUGUUGCACAUAUCCAUGUAAAACAUCUAGAUAAAUUAUCAUCAAACGAACUAGUUGAGGGGCUACCAAAACUAAAUUUUAAAACUAAAGAGAUUUGUGACACUUGUCAAAAGUGUAAACAAACCAAAAACUCUUUUAAAAAGAAAAAUGUGAUCUCCACUUCAAGGCCUUUGGAGUUACUCCAUAUGGACUUGUUUGGAUCUCCCGAUUUACAUGGACAUUAUUUUUAUGUGUAAAAAGUAAUGCGUUCAAAUCCUUUAAAAAUCUUGCCAAGCAAAUCCAAAACCAACUUAANNNNNNNNNNNNNNNNNNNNNNNNNNNNNNNNNNNNNNNNNNNNNNNNNNNNNNNNNNNNNNNNNNNNNNNNNNNNNNNNNNNNNNNNNNNNNNNNNNNNUUGCAAGUGGACACGCAAACGAACCAGGAUAAAAACCUUGUUGCAGACUUUUUCUUUCCCUCUCUCUCUUUAUUGCUUUAAUCGAUUACGUUGUAUAGUUGUUUUAAUUGCAAUAUUCUGUUUCUAUACUAUACUGUUGUAACUCUGAUAUAUUUGUUAGCUCUAUAUAUUCAUUUCAAUCUCGGUUGAUUGUCGUGCAAGAAACCGAAUCUGUUUGUGUAAUCUGAGCUAUUUUAAUCGAUUAAAUUGCUUUCGUUAAUCGAUUAUUUCUAUUCUGUUAAUCGAUUAAGCUGCGGUUAUUUCAGCACUAUUUGUUGUUUUCGAAAAAGCGGAUACUCUGACCGCUACACCUAUUCAACCCCCUUUUAGGUGUAUUUUAGCCACUGAUACCUAACAGAAACCCCAAAUGAGUUCAUGGUGAAGAUAAAGAACAUACCUUGUUGAGCCAUUUCCGGAACCUCGAAGGUAUGAGGGUGCGAUGAUCUGAUGUUAGAGUGCCGAAAGAUUUUCCUUAUGCUUCUCUAGAGGGGAAUGAGAAAACCAAAAGCUUGGUAGUAAAUUCAUAAAAAUAAAAGGAAGAUUAAAAAAGUUUUAGAAGAAUGAAGCGAAAGAAUCAACAAACAAAGGCAAGAACACCAAAGAUCGCUUCACUUGCCACAAGUGCAAAAAAGUAGGACACAUGCGAUUUCAGUGUCCAACCUAUCAGAAAAAGGUGUGUGUUGUGUUAGGAGAAAUGCCUUAUGGUUACCUUAUGUUAUAUGCCUAAUGGAUGAGUUGAUAGUGUUAUAUCCUUUUGAAUAACACUAUCCUCAUCGUACCUUAUUCUCCUCAACUUUACACCUGAAAACCUGUUGCUCUACAAAUGGGUACCAUAACCCAUAAAAGUAACCUCAUAGUGGUUACUACUUUGGUUGCAAUGAUUCUGAUUCAGUCCCUUCAUCAAAUCAGAAAUUAUCUGAAUGUAUCUACACUUAUUAUUAUUUCAUGACACAUAUGCCCUUAGCCACCAAAUUAAUAACUGAUGAUCAUUUUAUAUUUUGGCUAAUUACAUAAUGGUCAUAACACACUUAUAAAAUUAUAUUUGUGACCCAUAAAUUGUCAGAAAUUCUAACAAAUUUAUCACAUACUCACCUAAAAAACAAUAUUAACGUAGAUUUAUCAGCACCUAACUGAUUGUUGAGAAUCAAUAUAAAUGAAUACAUAUUAAAUAAACUUUACUUAUCCUCAUUAAAAAGAAACCGAUUUAAUAAUCAUUCUAUAUGUAUUAAGAUAUUUACAGCAUAAGGAAGCCGAAAAGGCUCCACUAAUAGGCUAUCAACCACAAAAUAUCCUAUAACAAAAUUACAAAAUGACUAUCGGUAACAAAAUAUAAUGCCAAAAUAAAGAAAACAUGUCAGUAACACACCUUCACUGACUUUCCCUUGAAGAAAACAUGACUUCUUUGUUAAGAACCAGAAAAAACAUCUAUUAAUCCCAAAAAGGAUAUAACCUCAGAAAUUAGCUGAAUCCUUCUUCAACCAGAUUGCUUAGCAGUAUAUGAACCUGUAAUUGAAAGCAGAAUAAAGGAUUUGUAAACUGAUUUCAACAAGGACAUAAUAGACUAUACCAUAACUUGCUCUCUGCAUGCAUUUUGGAAAACAAAAUUCUAGCAUAUGAUCAAUAUUUGACAAUCAAAAGGGCUAAACUACAAUAGCAAGUGCAACAUAAUGCAUCUUGCCUUAGAAAAUAGUGAAUUUGGAACAAAAAAACAGGAAUGCAAUGUGCCUUCUCAUUUCUCAGCCUCGGUUCUGAUUAUCAAAAGUUGAGCUGAAUUUCACAACUAAUUUAUCAUGCGCAACAUGCAUAACACAGAUAUGGUAAGAACAUAAAUGCCAAGUGCUAUCUAGAUUUUUAAACAUGUAUGUUGAGGGUUGGGCAUUUACGCCCAGUGAUACAUAAAUCCUAAGCGAUAUCCAGAUUUUUAAACAUGUAUGUUGAGGCUUGAGCAUUUACUAUCAGUGAUAAAAGAAUACCAUAAAAGUUAUACCUUGUCUUCGAUAGCAGGUAAAACCAGGAGAUCCGCGAAGUAAGUAUGCCAUGACAUUGGUAGGUAAAGGAAAGGAGGAAUAUACAUCCACAAUGAAUUUAAAAGUCUGAACUCUGGUGAAAGGAGAAAGCCGACCCAUGAAUAGAGCAGGGAACAAAGACAGAACCUAGGAAACAAGAGACAGACAAGAACUAAGAUUCAAGAAAUUACAGCUUCCAAAUCAUUAGCAAAAAUAAUCAUGGACAAACGCGAACAUGAAAU